AACGCUGGCGGCAGGCUUAACACAUGCAAGUCGAGCGCCCCGCAAGGGGAGCGGCAGACGGGUGAGUAACGCGUGGGAACGUACCCUUUACUACGGAAUAACGCAUGGAAACGUGUGCUAAUACCGUAUGUGCCCUUCGGGGGAAAGAUUUAUCGGUAAGGGAUCGGCCCGCGUUGGAUUAGCUAGUUGGUGGGGUAAAGGCCUACCAAGGCGACGAUCCAUAGCUGGUCUGAGAGGAUGAUCAGCCACAUUGGGACUGAGACACGGCCCAAACUCCUACGGGAGGCAGCAGUGGGGAAUAUUGGACAAUGGGCGCAAGCCUGAUCCAGCCAUGCCGCGUGAGUGAUGAAGGCCCUAGGGUUGUAAAGCUCUUUCACCGGAGAAGAUAAUGACGGUAUCCGGAGAAGAAGCCCCGGCUAACUUCGUGCCAGCCGCCGCGGUAAUACA
rnacentral:rRNA from 1 species